rnacentral:ncRNA from 1 species
AAACAAAUAGGGCGGGUUUUUUUUUUUUUCCCCCCCCCCCACCCAAAAAAAAAAGGGGGGGGGGUUUUUUUUGGUGGUACCAAAAUUCGGGCUAGACUAGUGAAGCUYGUMCUCYWAUUGAUGUUAACUAUGAUUAAUUGUAAAUUUGACUUUAAUAGUUUUGGGUGAAAUCAGGAUUAUUUAUAAGAGAAUAUUCAUAGUUUUAAAUUUUGAAGAACGAAUUAGAUUAGUACCUAAUUAGACAAAACUUAAAAGAGCAGGAGUAAAGUUGUAUUUAAACUGAAAGGAUAUUGGCAGGCUUUCUAAAUUAUCUUUGGAGGUUGAGUGAUAAUUGAGAACCCUCAUUAACUACUUGGUCUGUUGAUUCAUGUAUGAUCGUUUAGUAUAUUCUUAAAGAUUAUAGUUAAAGAUUUUUAUCUAUUAAAACAGAUAUAUACCUGGUCUAUGAUUCGAGUAAUAUUUGACCUACACUAUUCUAAGAUGUGGAUAAUUAAGGUAGUUCUUGAUUUGAAAAUGUAAAAGACAGUAAAGAAUUCUUCAUGUAUUCUUGAAGAUUAUCUAGAGGCGGUACWAAUCAUCCAUCAAUUGCCUAUAGGGGAGUA